rnacentral:lncRNA from 1 species
GCCCCACCCCCUCCGAGGCCGAAAUCUGCGGAAGUUAAACAGCUCGAGGAUGGAGUCGGCGGCGUUAAGUUCCUAAUACGCGCGUUAUUUCCCAAACUCAGAAGGAUGGAAGAGGGCGCUGUGUGGGCAGGGGGCGUCGGGUCCCUCCGGAGCACAGUUAGGUGGGGGGCUGUCCCAUCCACUUGCCCAGGUGCAGUGGCCGCUAAGAAUCCAGCCAAGGCACCAACGCUGCGCCCCACACGCGGGAUGAUUGGGAUGCACAGGGGUGCAGAGUAGAGGGUCUCCGGGCGGUUCUCCACCGACUCCCUAGUGCGUCUCACCACGCGCCAGCCUUGGUGACCGCACUGCACGUAUGAACUCCUUUGACCCUCGCAACAGCCGUCGAGAAAGGCACUCCCCCCACCCCCCACCGCGAUUUCCACUUCGCAGACCUGGAAACCGCAUCAGAAAGAGGUGAGGUGACUGCUCCGCAUCCGCAGACCCAGGACGCGGAGCUCUGGCCUCUGGAUGGCGGCGACUGCGCUUCCUUCUCCCUCCAGUUUCAGGCUGGGGGACACUCACCCCAGGGACGCGGGGGCGGGUGUGUGUGUUGGGGGGGUGCUGUAGGAGGGCCCGAGCAUCCUUAAGGGGCGGCUGCUGGAAGGAGAGCCAAAGAUCCAAAGAGGAGGGAGGAAUCCAAGGAUUCGGUGCCUCUAACCUACCUGGGGAACACUCUUCCUCAGAAACAAAGAGUAGUAUUCAAUAAUCAAACUAAGUCGGCUACAGCAAAUGGAACUUUCUGAGCCAGGGAUUGAAUCCGAGCCACAGCUUUGGCAACCCUGGAUCGUCUAACCCACUGCACUGGGCCAGGGAUCAAACCCACUCCUCCACAGCAACCCGAGCCACUGCAUUUGGAUCCUUAACCCACUGUGUCAUGGCAGGAACACAAGAAGGUAUAUUUUCAUCACUGGAAAAAUAAAAAAAAUAAUGUUACAAAAACGUAGACCCUCUCCAUCCUCCACCGCCAGCAGCAGCAAAAACAAAAUCACACACAGAAAAACUAAGAACAUGGUUUGAGGGAGAAGUGAGUUGGAAGCUGAGUUCAAGAUUGUCCUAACCCAGGACAAUUUGGCUUAAAACAGAAAAGGGAAAUGGCCAUAAACAUCUCUCAGGAAGGGUGGGGCCUCUGGUGGAAAGACAACAUCAAGGCACAGGCUAGGAUUUUCACAGGAUUCAUGCUAGCAAAAUGUUAUACAAGAAAGGUAAUUUUUGCAUCCUUGCCCAGACUGCAUUGAGAAAGACUAGUCAGAAAGUUACUGGUAUGGUUUUAAAGUGGUUAAUGCCUUGUUAUUAGGUGAGAACAGGGUGAAAGGGUGAUUCUCAGAACAUCUCAGUGGUCAAAUUCAGUAGGGAAUGGAGAGACAACCUCGCUGGCAUUUAGAGGUACCAAGACUCUACAUGGAAAAGAACAGUCUUUUCCGAUGCCCAAGAAAUUGGCUGAGAGAUGAUUUUGAUGGAAAAGUCCUGAAUGUGAUGAUAUACACGUCCUAUUAGCAUCAUUUAGAAUCAGGAUUCCAACGUUUGAAUACCAACUACCCUAUUUACUCUCUGACUUUUGUAAAAAUUUUAACCUCGUUGAGGGAGUUCCCGUCGUGGCACAGCAGAAAUGAAUCCAACUAGGAACCAUGAGGUUGUGGGUCCAAUCCCUGGCCUCCCUCAGUGGGUUAAGGAUCUGGCACUGCCGUGAGCGUGAGCUGUGGUGUAGGUUGCAGCCGCAGCUCAGAACCCACAUUGCUGUGGCUGUGGCAUGGGCCGGCGGGGCUGCAGCUCUGAUUAGACCCCUAGCUUGGGAACCUCCCUAUACUGUGGGUGCGGCCCUAAAAAGGACCAAAAAAAAGAAAAAAGAAAAAAAAAUUUAACCUCUUUGAGCUUUGGUUUCCUUUAUUUUAAAAAUGUAAAUAUCAAUAGCUACUUCACAGAACUGUUUUAAGGAUUAAAUAAACUUACACAAAAACACUUAAUGCCUGGUACAUACAUCUCAAAAAUGUUUCAAAACAUACCAUAUUACCUACCAUUGGGGGGGAGCUGGGGGAAGGGUCCACAGGACCUUCCUGUACAUUUUUCACAACUUCCUGUGAAUCUGUAAUUAUUUCAAAAUAAAAUGCUUAAAAAA